CAUGGCUGAGAGAUAAGACAAACCUGGUGCAAUGAACCUGGCAUUUUGAAAUGUAUUACAAAAAGAGAUUCAAGUUUGUACUUGCAUUGUGUGUAAAAGCUCAGUAUUUUUUUUCAGUGCACUUUAGCCAAUUAUUAUCCCAGGUAAAGGGAAAUGUAGCUGUUUCAUAUCUCACAGCACACACAUUGACCAGCAAACAGACUCUGAUGUUAAACGUGGGUUGACUUUCACUUUAUUCUCUUUCUCUGUAGCUUGGUUUCGUGAACUUACUGGACUACCCAGAACCGGACUUGUGCCUAAGGACGUCCAAAUUCAAUCAAAUCUAACAGAAAACGUGACCAUUGGCUGGACAAUCCUGGACUUUGACAGACUGGCGGUUAAGAAAAGACAUGGCUCAGCUGUGUCUGCACAAGAGGAACAUUACCACCCCCUGUUACUAAAUAUGAUCUGUUGAGGAAGCUGAGCCAAGUGCCUCCCUUCCAGGGUUUUCUUCAUGGUCUAGUCCUGUGAAGAAUCAUCAAGGUGAUUGUUGUGUAUACUAAUCUUCAGACGGCAUCCUUCGCUUGUCAAGUCAGAAAGUGUGCAUGUGUAUAGAGGUCACCGUCUGAAUAUGUAAUAGAAGCAGACGUUCCUGGAGAUACAGUUAGCAGGACUCAGCGGGGGUUGAGGGUGUUGUAGUAAUCAGGGUUGAGAUGGUGCUCGUUAUAUUUGUCAACUUGCUGGUGGUGGCACAAAUGGAGUGAGUGUGCCUGCAAUUUAAUGUCUGCUGAAUGAGAGUGGUGUUGAGGUGAGAUGGCAGCGGGCUGUAAGUAAUUCCUUGCAGGUUGAUUUUAGUUACCGUGAACAUUUGUAUCUUGUUAGAAUUUCAAAUGAACCAUUUAUAUAUUCAUCUUCCACCAACAUCUUAUCUAGCCGUCCCUGGUGACAUGAUGCCUGAGGUGUUGACGCCUGUGAUUUGACCUCUUAGAGAUCCCUUUUCCCCAAGGUGUUAUUCACCCUGCUAAUGUUAGGCUCCGUAUUCUAUUUUUUACAUUUUUUUAAUCCUUUUUUUAACCAAUUUCUGAGAUCUAAUGAACUUAUCCUCUGCUGCAGAGGCUCUAUGUCUUCCUUUUGUGUGGUGGUCUUCAUAGUGUUUCAAAGUUCUUGAAAUGUUCCGCAUUGACUGACUUUCAUGUCUUAAAGUAAU